rnacentral:rRNA from 1 species
GUCCAUGCCGUAAACGAUGAGUGCUAGUUGUUGGUUCCUUACGGAAUCAGUGACGCAGCUAACGCAUUAAGCACUCCACCUGGGGAGUACGAUCGCAAGGUUGAAACUCAAAGAAAUUGACGGGGCCCGCACAAGCGGUGGAGCAUGUGGAUUAAUUCGAUGCAACGCGAAGAACCUUACCUGGGCUCGAAGUGUACCGGACAGUCUGUGAAAGCAGAUCUUCCGCAAGGACUGGUACAUAGGUGCUGCAUGGCUGUCGU